GCAGCCGCGGUAAUACGGAGGAUGCGAGCGUUAUCCGGAUUUAUUGGGUUUAAAGGGUGCGUAGGCGGUGUAUUAAGUUAGUGGUCAAACGUCGGGGCUUCACCUUGAUUCGCCAUUAAAACUGGUACACUCGAGUACAGACGAGGUAGGCGGAAUAAGUUAAGUAGCGGUGAAAUGCUUAGAUAUAACUUAGAACUCCGAUCGCGAAGGCAGCUUACCAGACUGUAACUGACGCUGAAGCACGAGAGCGUGGGUAUCGAACAGGAUUAGAUACCCC
rnacentral:rRNA from 1 species